GACGAACGCUGGCGGCGUGCUUAACACAUGCAAGUCGAACGGAAAGGCCCUGCUUUUGUGGGGUGCUCGAGUGGCGAACGGGUGAGUAACACGUGAGUAACCUGCCCUUGAUUUUGGGAUAACUUCAGGAAACUGGGGCUAAUACCGGAUAGGAGCUCCUGCUGCAUGGUGGGGGUUGGUUAGUUUCGGCGGUCGGGGGUAGACUCGCGGCUUAUCAGCUUGUUGGUUGGGUAGUGGCUUACCACGGCUUUGACGGGUAGCCGGCCUGAGAGGGUGACCGGCCACAUUGGGACUGAGAUACGGCCCAGACUCCUACGGGCGGCAGCAGUGGGGAAUAUUGCCCAAUGGGCGGAAGCCUGAUGCAGCAACGCCGCGUGCGGGAUGACGGCCUGCGGGUUGUAAACCGCUUUCGCCGGUGACGAAGCGUGAGUGACGGUAAUGGGUAAAGAAGCACCGGCUAACUACGUG
rnacentral:rRNA from 1 species